AUUGAACGCUGGCGGCAUGCUUUACACAUGCAAGUCGAACGGCAGCGCGGGCUUCGGCCUGGCGGCGAGUGGCGAACGGGUGAGUAAUAUAUCGGAACGUACCCAAGAGUGGGGGAUAACGUAGCGAAAGUUACGCUAAUACCGCAUACGAUCUAAGGAUGAAAGCAGGGGAUCGCAAGACCUUGUGCUCCUGGAGCGGCCGAUAUCUGAUUAGCUAGUUGGUGGGGUAAAGGCCCACCAAGGCAACGAUCAGUAGCUGGCCUGAGAGGACGACCAGCACGCCUGGAAGUGAGGCACGGUCCCGACUCCUAAGGGAGGCAGCAGUGGGGAAUUUGGGACAAUGGGGGCAACCCUGGUUCAGCAAUGCCGCGUGAGUGAAGAGGGCCUUCGGGUUGUAAAGCUCUUUUGUCAGGGAAGAAGAGGUCGUGGCUAAUAGCCACGACUGCUGACGGUACCUAAAGAAUAAGCACCGGCUAACUGCGUGCCAGCAGCCGCCGUAACAC
rnacentral:rRNA from 1 species